AAAAAAAAAAAAAAGAUUGCUACACGGAGAAAGGAGAAAGAGAGACCAAGAGAAAAGAGAGACAGAGAAAUAGAGAGGCAGAGAACGGAGGAGAGAGAGAUCGAGAGAUCAAAAACUGCAGUUUGCAAUCAAGAAUGAAAAGAUGUCUCUCACUUCCUGUCAGAUUUUCUGCCAUCACCGUAAGUCUCCACUCGCUACCCGACCAUCGAAAUCACUACUGAUUGGUAUUUUGGGUCAGAUUUGGUUUUGAUUAAGGGAUACGAAGAUAGAGGAACCAAGCAGAGUUCGUAGCGAUACAGAGAAAGGGAAGGAGACAAAAAAAAUUUGCGGCAUAGUGGAGAUUUAACUGAAACUAAAAGGUCAAGAAGGAUUGCCCAAAUUUUCUUUUGUUGGAUUUAUAUUUUGGGUUAGAAUCCAAUCCUACUUUUAAUUUUGAUUUUAGGUUUUUGAAUGUUUUGGUAGAUAUUUAGAUUCCAAAAAUAGCGAUUGAUAGAGAUCAUAAGGCAGAGAGAGACAUUUGAGGACUGCCAUUACCGCCAUUCUGGCCUUCCACAAUCAUCCGGUCUCUUGCUGACUUGCUAUCAAUAAGUUUCGAUUUUGUAAAACAUUUUUUACUUUUUGGGAAAGAAAUUGGCUUUAAAUAUUAUUUAGGCUUGGGAUUGUUUUUGCUAUACGUAUUUGGCUGAGAUUAAGGUAUUUUGAUUAUUUUGGUUUGAUUUUUUUUGCUUAAACCUUAUGACUGACAACCUUUUGCUGUUUACAUAUAAAGAAACCGAAACAUUUAGAAUCAACAUUAAGAGAAAGUUGGUAACUGUAAGUCACGCACAAAGACGAAGAGAUGGACAACGAGAAAGAGGAAACAGAGUAUUCCCACCCAUCGGCAGCUUUAACACAAGAGUUUCUUUUCUCCCCCUACUUGGAUCAAGCCGCAUUGGUUUUUGGUGGACUUAGGAAGAAUUUUGCAGGGGUGGGUCAUUUGAAUUAAGCAUAUAAUACAAGUCUGAACAUUGUUUAUGUUGUUUUAGAAGAUUCUUUUUAAUUUUAAAAUUUUAAAUUUAUUUACUUUUAAACUUAGUUUUUUCCGUUAUACUAUCCUUGGUGAUAUUGUAAAUAAAUAAAUAAAUGUUGUAAGAAUUACUGUUCUUUAGAUAGUAUAACUAUAAUUGAGAUACAA